AACACGUGAGUAACCUGCCCCCGAGAGCGGGAUANCCCUGGGAAACUGGGAUUAAUACCGCAUAGUAUCGAAAGAUUAAAGCAGCAAUGCGCUUGGGGAUGGGCUCGCGGCCUAUUAGUUAGUUGGUGAGGUAACGGCUCACCAAGGCGAUGACGGGUAGCCGGUCUGAGAGGAUGUCCGGCCACACUGGAACUGAGACACGGUCCAGACACCUACGGGUGGCAGCUGUCGAGAAUCAUUCACAAUGGGGGAAACCCUGAUGGUGCGACGCCGCGUGGGGGAAUGAAGGUCUUCGGAUUGUAAACCCCUGUCAUGUGGGAGCAAAUUAAAAAGAUAGUACCACAAGAGGAAGAGACGGCUAACUCUGUGCCAGCAGCCGCGGUAAUACAGAGGUCUCAAGCGUUGUUCGGAAUCACUGGGCGUAAAGCGUGCGUAGGCUGUUUCGUAAGUCGUGUGUGAAAGGCGCGGGCUCAACCCGCGGACGGCACAUGAUACUGCGAGACUAGAGUAAUGGAGGGGGAACCGGAAUUCUCGGUGUAGCAGUGAAAUGCGUAGAUAUCGAGAGGAACACUCGUGGCGAAGGCGGGUUCCUGGACAUUAACUGACGCUGAGGCACGAAGGCCAGGGGAGCGAAAGGGAUUAGAUACCCCUGUAGUCCUGGCAGUAAACGGUGCACGCUUGGUGU
rnacentral:rRNA from 1 species